AUCAUAGCUCUCCCACUUUUUUGUGUUGAUUUUAUGAGAGUUAUAAAACCAAAGUCUAAUUAAGCGCACAUGUACAUUAUUAGAACAAAGGAAUUCCCGCCCCUCUCACCUCCCUCCAUCCUCUCGAUCGCUUAAAAAACAAAACAGAGCUGGCCAUUUUUUUUGGAAGAUUUUUACGCACCUGCAGUCCCCAUAUAAAUAAACACGCAGAGCCGGAGCCAUUUCACCUCGCUCAAAGAGCAAGGCAUUGGCUUCUCUCUGCCCACGUCCUGCCCACUUCCUGCUCAAUGAGGAAACUUCACACAAAAGCCGACUGUACUCUCACAAUAUUUCUUUGUUUGCCGUCAACUUUGAUACAUUUGCAAAAUACUGCUCAGCAGAGACCAUUUCACGACGUGAAUGAAUCAUUUCUUUUUUUUUUAUUCGGCUGGGUGUGCCGGAGGCGUGCGUAGCGUGCGGUUGGGUAACGGGCAAACCUGGGCUCGGCUCUCGGGUUUCCUGGUGGGCUCAGCGUGAGUCUGGGCCUCCUUGAAAUGAAAGUAGAAAAUAUGAAGUGGCCUUUUUUAUGUUUUGAGACUGCGUGUCCGUGUUAAAAAGAAAAGUCCAACGCGGUAUAAUUUAAUCCGCUGAGGAUGCUUCACGCGCCUGAUGCAUUUGCGGAUGAAUUGAGCACUCAUCAAGGCACAAGGCAUGCAGCCUCUUGCGCCGUCCCAAAAACAAACAAACAAACAAUAAAGAGUUGUCGUAUUUAAAAGUCACAGAUUUGGUUCCCAAAUGAUGUUGAGAAAGUUUAAACGGCGGAAAUGUGUGCACCGUAUGCAAGACAUAAAUACAAAGUGUGGCACCGCGCUGCUCGAAUCUUUCACACCUUCAGGUUUUACUGUCCUGCCAGUUGGCCUGAGCUGUUGAUACAGAGUUUAUGCAUGCGUGGCAUGUAAUAAACUAAAUAAAUAACGAUCACAGCCACUCUCUUUUAACCGAUGGAUGACGGAUCAAAGGCCUCCCCUCGGCCAUGUCAGUUAUGGGUUCAUCAUACUGUUUUAUUAAUUCCAACCCAAUAAUAAUUUACAGCACUGUGUUAAUUCGCUGCUGAAUUAAGGCCUUCCCUCACUGUGUUAGUCGCGGGGUGGGAGGAAGGCGAGUGGAGAGGGGUUCACGCAAGUAGGUGAAAGGACCAUUGCCACUGAUGUUAGCCGUGGCUGGAAUUGAACUUGGGUUGGCUGGGUUCAUAGUACAGUAUGCUAACCAUAUGCCACCCGCUUUAUAGAUGUCAAAUAUAUAUAAAUAUAUCUUGCCUUCGUGGCAAAUAUAAAAAAAAACAAGGGCAGGAUCCCAUAUUUAGAAGUUGAAGGCCACAGUCAAGAAUUUUGGUUAAGUGUAGGCUGCCCAAAUAGAAAUUAAUGUGAAAUACCAGCCACCAUUCCGUUCCAACAAAUCAACAAACGUUGCAUUGUGCAUUAUGGGAAUUGGGUGGUUGGCUUUUAGUUUUAUUUUACAGAAUACCAAAAUUUCCAAACGUAAAAUUAUACAUACUUUUGUUUUAAGUAUAUCAUAUCAUGUAUAAAUGUAAAAUGCCCUUUUCCAGAUCAUUUACAUAUAUUUUUCAAAAGUAAAGAUUAUUUAGGCCAAUAAGCGGCACAGAGGACUCUGCACUGCACCAAUUUUCCCUCGCAACUCCCCCCCUACCCCGCCCCUCCCACAAUACCUCCCGGUGCACGCUGCACACCGUUGGUCUGUGGGUGGCCCGCCCCCCAGGGAUGCCUCCGCAUGUCCGUCAAGCCUGCCGGCUUUCCGAAUUUAGCUCCCGACAUCUGGUUCUUAUAUCAGCUGCCCUUUUAAUAUAGCGUCAGCGGGUGGGAGCCAAGCGGGCCACCGGGCAGCCCGGCCAAAAGGGCUCCUCAACAUGCCGGGUUUUGAGAACAUUGCACAAUUCACGAAGCAUGAACCCUUAUCUCUCAUCCAUCGCAACUUCCCGAAGAAGAUCUCGCGCCACAGGGAGCGAAGCCGAGAGCCGAACACCGAGCGGCAGGAGCUGCAAGCGCGUCUGAGGGCCACACAGCAACUCAAGCGGCGUGGAGCGUCCAGAAAUGUGGCUCGUACAAUCGGCGAAGCAUCUCGUGUAAAGCAUAUUCGAUCAAGAUGGUUGUGACGAUUCCGACGCGAGUGGCAGCUGUUAUUUAAUAUCGUGUGCUUCAUGUACUAUCUGUACCAGCCUGUUUUUAUUAAUAAUUGAAUGUUUGAACUUUAAAAGGUACGCGUACACAUGUCUAAAGUAUAUGGGAGCUAUCUUAAGUUUCCCUUAAAAAAAAACCCCUCGAUGUUCUGAUGCAAGCAUCUGUGACUGGGAACGAGACAAAACAUUCAACUUGUACUGUGUAACUAUUAUUAGUUUUAUCGAACAUUCAAUAUUAUUAACACGUAGGCUUUCGCGACCAAUAUUAUUCAUAAUAAAGGUUUAUUAUGAAAACUUUUAUUAUGAAUUCAAUAUUAUACUUACAAAACAGUUACGUAUUAUUAAAUUGUUCUUUGGUAGACGGAAACACAUGCAAAAACAAAU